GCGAGGUUGCCCGAGUGGUCCAAGGGGGGUGACUUAAGAUCUCCUAGUCGCUAAGACUGCGUGGGUUCAAACCCCACACCUCGCA